rnacentral:rRNA from 1 species
ACAGUCGAGCGGACAGAAGGGAGCUUGCUCCCGGAUGUUAGCGGCGGACGGGUGAGUAACACGUGGGUAACCUGCCUGUAAGACUGGGAUAACUCCGGGAAACCGGAGCUAAUACCGGAUAGUUCCUUGAACCGCAUGGUUCAAGGAUGAAAGACGGUUUCGGCUGUCACUUACAGAUGGACCCGCGGCGCAUUAGCUAGUUGGUGGGGUAAUGGCUCACCAAGGCGACGAUGCGUAGCCGACCUGAGAGGGUGAUCGGCCACACUGGGACUGAGACACGGCCCAGACUCCUACGGGAGGCAGCAGUAGGGAAUCUUCCGCAAUGGACGAAAGUCUGACGGAGCAACGCCGCGUGAGUGAUGAAGGUUUUCGGAUCGUAAAGCUCUGUUGUUAGGGAAGAACAAGUGCGAGAGUAACUGCUCGCACCUUGACGGUACCUAACCAGAAAGCCACGGCUAACUACGUGCCAGCAGCCGCGGUAAUACGUAGGUGGCAAGCGUUGUCCGGAAUUAUUGGGCGUAAAGGGCUCGCAGGCGGUUUCUUAAGUCUGAUGUGAUAGCCCCCGGCUCAACCGGGCGACGGUCAGUUGGAAACUGGGA